CCUCGGGUGGCUGCAGUGGGGAAUAUUGGACAAUGGGCGAAAGCCUGAUCCAGCCAUGCCGCGUGUGUGAAGAAGGCCUUCGGGUUGUAAAGCACUUUCAGUGGGGAAGAAAGCCUUGGGGCUAAUACCCUCGAGGAAGGACAUCACCCACAGAAGAAGCACCGGCUAACUCCAUGCCAGCAGCCGCGGUAAUACGGAGGGUGCGAGCGUUACUCGGAAUUACUGGGCGUAAAGCGCGCGUAGGCGGUCUGAUAAGCCGGUUGUGAAAGCCCCGGGCUCAACCUGGGAACGGCAUCCGGACCUGUCAGGAUAGAGUGCAGGAGAGGAAGGUAGAAUUCCCGGUGUAGCGGUGAAAUGCGUAGAGAUCGGGAGGAAUACCAGUGGCGAAGGCGGCCUUCUGGACUGACACUGACGCUGAGGUGCGAAAGCGUGGGUAGCAAACAGGAUUAGAUACCCGAGUAGUC
rnacentral:rRNA from 1 species